rnacentral:rRNA from 1 species
AUACGUAGGGAGCUAGCGUUGUCCGGAAUUACUGGGCGUAAAGGGCGCGUAGGCGGCGCUUCAAGUCGUCUGUCAAAUGGGAGGGCUUAACCCUUUUUCGCAGACGAAACUGGAGAGCUUGAGAAGCAGAGAGGCAAACAGAAUUCCUGGUGUAGCGGUGAAAUGCGUAGAUAUCAGGAAGAAUACCAGUGGCGAAGGCGGUUUGCUGGCUGCAUACUGACGCUGAAGCGCGAAAGCCAGGGGAGCAAACGGGAUUAGAUACCCCGGUAGUCCUGGCAGUAAACGAUGUAUGCUGGGUGUGAGACUAGCGAUAGUUUCGUGCCGAAGUUAACGCGAUAAGCAUACCGCCUGGGGAGUACGGUCGCAAGAUUGAAACUCAAAUGAAUUGACGGGG